rnacentral:rRNA from 1 species
AGUGAACGCUGGCGGUAGGCCUAACACAUGCAAGUCGAACGGCAGCACAGUAAGAGCUUGCUCUUACGGGUGGCGAGUGGCGGACGGGUGAGGAAUACAUCGGAAUCUACUUUUUCGUGGGGGAUAACGUAGGGAAACUUACGCUAAUACCGCAUACGACCUACGGGUGAAAGCAGGGGAUCUUCGGACCUUGCGCGAUUGAAUGAGCCGAUGUCGGAUUAGCUAGUUGGCGGGGUAAAGGCCCACCAAGGCGACGAUCCGUAGCUGGUCUGAGAGGAUGAUCAGCCACACUGGAACGGAGCAACGGUCCAGACUCCUACGGGAGGCAGCAGUGGGGAAUACUGGACAAUGGGCGCAAGCCUGAUCCAGCCAUACCGCGUGGGUGAAGAAGGCCUUCGGGUUGUAAAGCCCUUUUGUUGGGAAAGAAAAGCAGCAGGUUAAUACCCCGCUGUUCUGACGGUACCCAAAGAAUAAGCACCGGCUAACUUCGUG